rnacentral:snRNA from 1 species
GUUGCUGCCUUAUAUGAUCUUAUCAUUUUAAUAUCUGAUAUGUCCUUUAUUCGAGGACUGUAUAUUAAAUUGAUUUUUGGAACAGGGGGAUGGAAUAGGAGCUUGCUCUGUUCACCCCAUGCAUCUACCUGGUAUUGCAGUGCUUCCAGGAACGGGAAAAAAAU